UGCAGUCGAGCGGAUGAGAAGAGCUUGCUCUUCGAUUCAGCGGCGGACGGGUGAGUAAUGCCUAGGAAUCUGCCUGGUAGUGGGGGACAACGUUUCGAAAGGAACGCUAAUACCGCAUACGUCCUACGGGAGAAAGCAGGGGACCUUCGGGCCUUGCGCUAUCAGAUGAGCCUAGGUCGGAUUAGCUAGUUGGUGAGGUAAUGGCUCACCAAGGCUACGAUCCGUAACUGGUCUGAGAGGAUGAUCAGUCACACUGGAACUGAGACACGGUCCAGACUCCUACGGGAGGCAGCAGUGGGGAAUAUUGGACAAUGGGCGAAAGCCUGAUCCAGCCAUGCCGCGUGUGUGAAGAAGGUCUUCGGAUUGUAAAGCACUUUAAGUUGGGAGGAAGGGUUGUACGCUAAUACCGUGCAAUUUUGACGUUACCGACAGAAUAAGCACCGGCUAACUCUGUGCCAGCAGCCGCGGUAAUACAGAGGGUGCAAGCGUUAAUCGGAAUUACUGGGCGUAAAGCGCGCGUAGGUGGUUCGUUAAGUUGGAUGUGAAAGCCCCGGGCUCAACCUGGGAACUGCAUCCA
rnacentral:rRNA from 1 species